UACGAAGGGUGCAAGCGUAACUCGGAAUUACUGGGCGUAAAGCGUGCGUAGGUGGUUUGUUAAGUCUGAUGUGAAAGCCCUGGGCUCAACCUGGGAAUUGCAUUGGAUACUGGCAGGCUAGAGUGCGGUAGAGGAUGGCGGAAUUCCCGGUGUAGCAGUGAAAUGCGUAGAGAUCGGGAGGAACAUCUGUGGCGAAGGCGGCCAUCUGGACCAGCACUGACACUGAGGCACGAAAGCGUGGGGAGCAAACAGG
rnacentral:rRNA from 1 species